UUAGAUAGGAAAGAGGAAAGGAGAGCUAAUAUGAAGAAACGACCGUAAUUCAUUGGAGCUGGUCCCGAAGAGUUGGGUUCGAUUGGCUUCGGGAGAUGUCUUCGAGUUCGAAGAUGGUUUCAUGGCUUCGGGAGAUCGGAAUUUCUUCUGAAUCGGCGUCAUAACUUCGGGAAGAUUGGAUUAGUUAUUAUUAUUAAUAUUUAGUUCUUUUAUCGUAAUAAUAUAAUUUUAUUAGGUAGUAAAUCUUUUAUAAUUAAGUUGUUACCUAUUAGGAUUUUUUUUCAUAAUUUUAGGAAGUUUGUUGGAAUUUGUUUCCUUAUUUCUAGGAAGAUUAUAGAGUGACUUGGACAGAAAAUUUUGUUAGCUAUAUAAAUUCGGCUUGUGUGUUGAAAUAAUUAUUCAUGAU
rnacentral:lncRNA from 1 species